UACGAAGGGGGCUAGCGUUGCUCGGAAUCACUGGGCGUAAAGGGUGCGUAGGCGGGUCUUUUAAGUCAGGGGUGAAAUCCUGGAGCUCAACUCCAGAACUGCCUUUGAUACUGAGGAUCUUGAGUUCGGGAGAGGUGAGUGGAACUGCAAGUGUAGAGGUGAAAAUUCGUAGAUAUUCGCAAGAACACCAGUGGCGAAGGCGGCUCACUGGCCCGAGUACUGACGCUGAUGCACGAAAGCGUGGGGAGCAAACAGG
rnacentral:rRNA from 1 species